UACGUAGGGGGCGAGCGUUGUCCGGAGUUACUGGGCGUAAAGCGCACGCAGGCGGUCUGCUAAGUUUGGAGUGACAGUUGGUGGCUUAACUGCCAAAGUGCUUCGAAAACUGACAGACUUGAGGGCUUCAGAGGGACACGGAAUUCCGGGUGGAGUGGUGAAAUGCGUAGAGAUCCGGAGGAGCACCAAAGGCGAAGGCAGUGUCCUGGGGAGUACCUGACGCUCAGGUGCGAAAGCCAGGGGAGCGAACGGG
rnacentral:rRNA from 1 species